rnacentral:rRNA from 4 species
UCUAAUACCGGAUAAUACUUCUCCUCGCAUGGGGAGGGGUUGAAAGCUCCGGCGGUGCAGGAUGAGCCCGCGGCCUAUCAGCUUGUUGGUGAGGUAGUGGCUCACCAAGGCGACGACGGG